GAUUACCCGCCGAACUUAAGCAUAUCACUAAGCGGAGGAAAAGAAACUAACCAGGAUUCCCCUAGUAACGGCGAGUGAAGAGGGAAUAGCCCAGCACCGAAGCCUGCGGUAGGUUUACUGCUAGGCAAUGUGGUGUUUGGGUCGACUCGCGGGAUUGCCACUCCACUCGAAGUCCAGCACUGAGUAUGGUUCCCUGGAUUUGGCCCAGAGAGGGUGAAAGGCCCGUGCGAGUGGAGGUUCAGACAUGUGAGGCAAUUCACCAGGUCGACCUUCGAGUCGGGGUGUUUGUGAAAUGCAGC
rnacentral:rRNA from 1 species